GGCUUGCUCGGGGGCAAGGCUUAAAUUGGCUUGUCAAGGACAAGGCUUGAAUUGGCUUGCUCGGGGGCAAGGCUUAAAUUGGCUUGUCCAGGACAAGGCUUGAAUUGGCUUGCUCGGGUGCAAGGCUUAAAUUGGCUUGUCCAGGACAAGGCUUGAAUUGGCCUGCUCGGGGGCAAGGCUUAAAUUGGCUUGUCAAGGACAAGGCUUGAAGGGGCUUGCUCGGGGGCAAGGCUUAAAUUGGCUUGUCAAGGACAAGGCUUAAAGGGGCUUGCUCGGGGGCAAGGCUUAAAUUGGCUUGUCAAGGACAAGGCUUGAAUUGGCUUGCUCCAGGACAAGGCUUGAAUUGGCUUGCUCGGGGGCAAGGCUUAAAUUGGCUUGUCAAGGACAAGGCUUGAAGGGGCUUGCUCGGGGGCAAGGCUUAAAUUGGCUUGUCAAGGACAAGGCUUGAAUUGGCUUGCUCCAGGACAAGGCUUGGAGGGGCUGUUAUACCCGAUGUUUGGAUUUAUUAAUUGUUUGGACUGGACUUGGAUUUAUAUUGCAUCCAAGCUGCCUACGUACCCAAACGGGAUCAAGUCGAACGUAGUUCGUUACAAAAGAGAACGGAAAAUAUGCAUGGGCACGCAGACCCGCUAAACUAGAAAUAAAAUGCAGGAAAAGAAAAUCUCCUUAAAGGUGUCGGGAAUUUUACUUGUAAUAUAUUUUCAAAUUGUCGGCAUUCCAGGGCCUCGGAAGAGGUCUACCCGAAGUGUCUCUUAGGCUGUAUGCUCCUUUGCGAACCUGCCGUAUGACCUCAAAGGGCCCUUCCCAGACGGGCCCGAGCUUCCCUGGGGGAUGGCCUGCUGCUUCGGCCCUCCUCAAGACCAAAUCGCCAGCUCUGAACCUCCGAUCCUUGACUUUGCGAUUAAAAUGUUUUGCUGUCUUUGCUUGGUAAGAGGCCACUUUUAUAGCGGCUUGCUCCCGAACUUCUUCCAAGAGAUCAAGAUGUUCAGUUGUAUGUUCCGAGGUUUCUGGCACGAGCCUCCUAUGGCUUGGCAGUCUAAUUUCCACUGGGACCAUCGCUUCAACGCCAUAGGCUAACAUAAAAGGGGUUUCUCCUGUGGUUGUCCUAUGAGUUGUUCUGUACGUCCAAAGUAUAGAAGGCAGCUCGUCGGACCAAGAACCCCUAGCAUCACUUAUUCUUGUUCGGAGGUCUUGCAAUAUGAUUCGAUUUGUUACCUCGGCCAGACCGUUGCUCUGAGGAUGCGAAACUGACGUCAGACGGUGAUCAAUCCCAAGGUUUGAGCAAAAGUUUCUAAACUGUUGGUUGUCAAAUUGCCUGCCAUUGUCGGUGAUGAGGACCUUUGGUAUCCCAAACCUGCAAAAGCUUGGGCUCCGAUAUUGUGGCGAGAGGUUCGGCCUCUACCCAUUUUGUGAAGUACUCUACUGCUACAACAACAAACUUUAACUGACCUCUUGCCACAGGGAAGGGGCCGAGGAUGUCAACUCCCCAUUGUUCAAACGGGGCCGAACAGUUAAUGUUGGUGAGGUCCUCGGCUGGUGAGUGGAUAAUAUUGCCAAACCUCUGGCACUUAUCACAAUUUUUAACAUAUUCUGAGGCGUCUUUUUUCAUAGUUGGCCAGUAGUAUCCAUAUCGUACGAGUUUAAAGGCCAAGGCCCUGGCUCCUUGAUGAUUCCCGCACACACCUUCGUGAACUUCAGCAAGGGCCUGGGAUGAUUCUGAUGGCCUGAGACACCUUAGGUACGGAAGAGUAAUACUUCUGCGGAAAAGGACACCGCUGAUCAUGCAGUACCUAGGAGCUCGGGCUCUGAUGCUUCUGGCCAACCUGGCAUCGCUUGGUAGACUUCCGUUUGUGAUGAAUUCUAUAAUCGGGUCCAUCCAGGAUGGUUCGUUGUCAAUGUCCAUGAUGUCGAGGGUUUGACUGAUGCUGGGUUCUGUGAUGAUUUUAAUGUGAACUGUUCUGUCAAGGCCGUCUACCCCCAUGAACAUAAGCCUGGAUAAUGCAUCGGCUUUUCCGUUGUCCUUUCGAGCAAUUUUUGUAAUUUCACAGCUCUUAAAUUUUCGCUGAAGAUCCUGAACCUUCAUACAGUACAAACUCAUUUUCUCCUCCUUCCUUUCAAAUGAUCCUUCAGUCUGUCCGACCACUAGCUGUGAAUCGCUGAAUACCUUUACGAACUCGAGCUCUAGGCAAAGGGCUAGUUCAAGAGCAAUAACGACGGCCUCAUACUCGGCCUCGUUGUUGGUUGCUUCAAACUCGAAUCUGAGAGCGCAUUGGAUCUCUGUUUGUUUGUCAGGGCUGAUGAUGAUGACCCCUGCGCCCGAGCCCGAGGAGUUCGAUGCUCCAUCCACAAAUAUUUGCCAAGUGUCCAAAUUAGUGCUCAUGCUCGAGCUCUCACCUGGCCCCCGAGGCCUAGGGGUUAGUUCUGCAAUGAAGUCGGCCAGAGCUUGGGCUUUGAUAGAUGGGCGUGGUUUGAAUUCUAUGUCAAAUUCCCCAAGCUCGAUUGCCCAUUUCAUCAGUCUUCCUGAUACGUCGGGCUUCUGAAGUAUAUGCCUAAGUGGUUGAUUAGUGAGCACCACAAUAGGGUGAGACUGAAAAUAUUGCCGGAGUUUCCUUGCUGCUAUAACCAAGGCAAAGGCAAGUUGUUCCGCCAAAGUAUACCUUGUUUCUGCAUCCAGUAGGACCUUGCUUACAUAGUAGAUAGGCUGUUGGACUUUGUUAACCUCUUUCACCAAGACCCCGCUGACAGCAUUUUGAGAUACGGCCAAGUACAGAAAUAAGGUGUCACCAGGCUCAGGCCUAGUGAGAAUUGGGGGAGAUGCCAAUAUCUGUUUGAGUUCCUGGAAAGCUUUCUCACAGUCUUCACUCCAAUCAAAGCCUUGGUUUCCUCUGAGGACUUUGAAGAAGGGGUAGCACCUGUCCGAUGCUCGGGACAUGAACCUGUUCAAGGCUGCUAUCCUACCGGUCAACCUCUGUACCUCUUUCUUGUUCCUUGGUGAUUCCAUAGAUGCCAAGGCUUGUAUUUUGUCAGGGUUGGCCUCUAUCCCCCGAUGAGUGAUCAUAAAACCCAAGAACUUUCCCGAGGCUACGCCGAAUGCACAUUUCGCGAGGUUCAACUUCAUUCCGUACUUUCGCAAGGUGUUGAACACGUCUUCAAGAUCUGAAAUAUGUUGGUCCACCUGCUUGCUCUUGACCACCAUGUCAUCAACGUACGCCUCCACAUUCCUUCCAAU
rnacentral:lncRNA from 1 species